AAGAUGGCGGACAUCUCCCUGGACGAACUCAUCAGGAAGCGCGGGGCGGCGGCGAAAGGACGUAGAGAUGGGGUUUUACCAUGUUGGCCAGGCUGGUCUCGAACUCCUCACCUCAGGCCGAACCCGCUCGGCCUCCCAAAGUCCUGGGAUUACAAGCAUGAGACACUGCGCCGGGCCAGAAGGAAGAGCAGCUGUGAUUAUAAAAAGCCUGAACACUGAAGCCCCCUCAAGCUGUUCACGAAAGAAGUUGAAAGCACUGGUGGAACCAGGGAACUGAGUGCAUCAGAUUGAGGGAAAUAGCUUACUCCCUCCCACCGUGAGGAGCUCCUACUACAUCCUCAACUACCGUUAACUCCCACCCCUAAAUGUGCCUUUUAGGCUGUUCAAAUAGAUAAAAAUGCCAG
rnacentral:lncRNA from 10 species